rnacentral:lncRNA from 1 species
CUUCAAUUGACUAAUUAUUUAUAUGGUAUUUAUGUAAUUAUUUUAGUUCAGAUGAAUUUAAAGAGCGACUUAAGAACCAGGGAACGCCGUCGUUCAACUCGACCAGCCGCCUCCACCUGUGCCCACAUCGCCUGAAGAGUCGGCCCGAGUGGAAGCUGAAAGCAGCAAAGAGGAACUAGAUGUAACUUUGACGAAGGAUAAAGAAACGCUUAGUGAUGAAAAAGAGGAAAAAACUGAGUCUGAAGACGCAACAGCGAUGGAGGAGAGCACAGAACAGGAGCCAGAGAAACCAGGAACUAAAGAAAAUGACCAGAAUGAGUGUCAGACGUCAGGAGACUCCGCGGUCGAAGGUCCCUCUUCCGUGGACUUUCUGUCAGAAGAGAUUUUGGACGAAGGCGAUAUUAAGAUCCCGGAGACGACGGAGGAGAAACCUGAGAGUGGAUCGAAACCGGACCCAAUCGAAGAAAUCCCACUGAGUUUAGAACCAGCUUCUCCGACGGAGGGAGAGACUCUGGACAAACGACUCACCAUGAACAGCUUCAGUAAAGGUGAAAACUUUCACAAGAUUAAAGCUGAUCCAAUCGUUUUCUAACACGGCUUUCUUGUUCCACAGAAUGUCAUGUAUCAUAUCAAUCAGUCCUGGCACCAAAAGUAAGUGUUUAUUGUUUAUAUGGAUUUGUAAACAUCAGAGCAAAUGACGUCAGAACGAGAGCAAAGUGACAAAUUAUUACUUAACCUCUUGAACCGAGCGCAUUGUCUCCAGUUCGGCUUCACCCAAAUCUAAAAGCUUCUCGACUGGAGAGCAGCAGUGUAACGCCUCAUUUGAAAGCUAAGACCUACUAAAAUGAAUGUUGUCACAUUGUCACCGCGUUUUUGUCACAUAUUUGAAGCGUUUUUCUCGUGAUUUUGUUUCUUUCUCAUGUUUUUGUUACUUUUUCA